UUAAUUCCUCUUUUGCAAUAGUGAAGAGGGAUUAAAAAAAGAAAGAAGAUUGUGAGGUGUAAAAUUUUCUCUCUCUUCUCUCUCUUUCAUCUUUCAGAGAGAAAGAAUUUUUUUUUCCGUUUUCGCUUAGCCGGUGUUUCUUUUGCGGUGACUUUUGUCACGUUUAAAGCGGUGUUGGCUGGCUUUGUUUCCGGCAUAGAUGGUUUCGUUAGCAUCUUUGGCCGGCUAUGUUUCUGAUAUCGGUGGUUUCAUCAACACCGGUGGUCGGCUCUGUACUCCGGCAUCGAACGGCUUCUUUAGCGUUGAUGGUUGGCUUAUCUCUAGUGGUCUCUCCGCUACUUUUGGCUCCGGUUUUUUCCGGAUUUAGUAUUUUCUUUUCUCUCCUUGGAUUUCAAUUGUGUAUCGGUUUCAAUUGGUUUUAAUUGCAUAAAUCAUCCUUUAAUCUGAGUUUGCAAUUCGCUGGUCCUCCCUUUCUUAAGGGGCUCGAUUUGGUUGGGAGUUGUGGAUUGGUGUCUCUCUUGGCUCUUUGGGAUGAUUUAGAAGCAAUUAGAGUAAUUGAUGGUAUAAUUCAUAUGUUGAUACUUGUUGGAUGGAGGCAGUUUGUUUGUUUUGCAGGUUCAAUGAUGGAAGCUUUGAUCCAAUCUAGAUUUGUUGAAAGGAAGUUAUGUUGUUUAGAAUCUGGAGUUCAAAGCUUUAGCCUAGUUUUUUUGGAUUCUAAAAGAUUUGCAUAAAGUGGAGUCUUAUUCUCAUCAAGCUAAACUGGAUUCUUGCCUUUAUUUCUUUGGGCAAAGAUUGAGUUCGAUCGAGCAGUCAGUUUUCCGACGAUUUCGGCCGGACUAUAUGCUUUCCGGCGACACAUCAACUGCCGGUUAUCGGAGAUUUCCACCCCCUUCGUCUUUUCUCCUCAUGUCUUCCAACUUGUUCUCCAAAAGCCACGUGUACUUUGCGCUGAAUUAUCAGCUUUUCCUUCUGUCUAGGGUUCCUUUAUGAUCUUUGUUUUGUUUUAUUAGGUCUGUUGACUGUGGUGUGUUUAUUUGAGCUUUGUAAAUGUUGGGCCCGUCACAAUUGGCUUUGGCGUUGUGGUUUAAGGCUUUCUCGUAUA